rnacentral:rRNA from 1 species
AGUGAACGCUGGCGGUAGGCCUAACACAUGCAAGUCGAACGGCAGCACAGUAAGAGCUUGCUCUUACGGGUGGCGAGUGGCGGACGGGUGAGGAAUACAUCGGAAUCUACUUUUUCGUGGGGGAUAACGUAGGGAAACUUACGCUAUACCGCAUACGACCUACGGGUGAAAGCAGGGGAUCUUCGGACCUUGCGCGAUUGAAUGAGCCGAUGUCGGAUUAGCUAGUUGGCGGGGUAAAGGCCCACCAAGGCGACGAUCCGUAGCUGGUCUGAGAGGAUGAUCAGCCACACUGGAACUGAGACACGGUCCAGACUCCUACGGGAGGCAGCAGUGGGGAAUAUUGGACUAUGGGCGCAAGCCUGAUCCAGCCAUACCGCGUGGGUGAAGAAGGCCUUCGGGUUGUAAAGCCCUUUUGUUGGGAAAGAAAAGCAGCAGGUUAAUACCCCGCUGUUCUGACGGUACCCAAAGAAUAAGCACCGGCUAACUUCGUG